rnacentral:rRNA from 1 species
GCAGUCGACGAACCUUCGGGUUAGUGGCGGACGGGUGAGUAACGCGUGGGAAUCUGCCCUCAGGAGGGGGAUAACGGUUGGAAACGACCGCUAAUACCCCAUAUGCCGAGAGGUGAAAUGAAUUUCGCCUGAGGAUGAGCCCGCGUCUGAUUAGCUUGUUGGUGAGGUAAUGGCUCACCAAGGCUUCGAUCAGUAGCUGGUCUGAGAGGAUGAUCAGCCACACUGGGACUGAGACACGGCCCAGACUCCUACGGGAGGCAGCAGUGGGGAAUUUUCCGCAAUGGGCGAAAGCCUGACGGAGCAACGCCGCGUGAGGGACGAGGGCCUCUGGGCUGUAAACCUCUUUUCUCAAGGAAGAAGAUCUGACGGUACUUGAGGAAUAAGCCACGGCUAAUUCCGUGCCAGCAGCCGCGGUAAUACGGGAGUGGCAAGCGUUAUCCGGAAUUAUUGGGCGUAAAGCGUCCGCAGGCGGCCUUUCAAGUCUGCUGUUAAAGCGUGGAGCUUAACUCCAUUAUGGCAGUGGAAACUGUUGGGCUUGAGUGUGGUAGGGGCAGAGGGAAUUCCCGGUGUAGCGGUGAAAUGCGUAGAUAUCGGGAAGAACACCAGUGGCGAAGGCGCUCUGCUGGGCCAUAACUGACGCUCAUGGACGAAAGCCAGGGGAGCGAAAGGGAUUAGAUACCCCUGUAGUCCUGGCCGUAAACGAUGAACACUAGGUGUCGGGGGAAUCGACCCCCUCGGUGUCGUAGCCAACGCGUUAAGUGUUCCGCCUGGGGAGUACGCACGCAAGUGUGAAACUCAAAGGAAUUGACGGGGGCCCGCACAAGCGGUGAGUAUGUGUUUUAAUUUCGAUGC